UCUGCCCCCCUGUACCGUGGAGGGUAGGGCAACGCAUUUACCAACGCCUUCGCUCAUGGUUUCUCUCUGGGACAGAGCAGCUUUAGUUCCUGCUUCAGGGAAGUGGGAAGGCACCCAGAUGUCUGGAAGCUGAAGGUAGAGAUCUACUACUUUAAAAAUGAGCCAUUUGCUGUGAGUCCAAUUGCCAGGUUGGCAGGCCAGGGACUGUCUGAAGCUUUCAUUCAAAGAGAGUCUAGAAAAGAAGGAGAAAAUGGAGAUGGAGAGAAAAGACGGGAGAAAAUCCUCAACUAGCCAACCAACCAAAAACAAAAUAAACAAAAAUCCCCUCAUUUGUUGCUGUUCCCAUACUGUCUGUUUGGUUCCAUGGAAGUCUUCUUUGAACAUGAUAUACUGUAUUCUUGAUGAGAAACAAAAGGAGGGUCCCAAGGCACGCUGAGUGUGACACCGUGUCAGUGAACAGGGUAGAACAUCUGGCAGCAAGGAGAUAAAAAGAAAACAUGAUUUUCUUGGGAUAUGAUAUCAUAGAGCAGGAGAGCCAGAGCCAACUGUAUUGUUUUAGCUGGCAGUUGGGACCCUGUGAAAAGUAACCGAAUGUGAUGAUGAUUUGUAGAAAGAAAAAAUUACUAGGUAAGUGAUCUGUUUUGUGUGUGUGUAUAGGAGAUUAUGUAUGUGUUGUGACAAAGUUCCUGCUCUACCUUGGCGGAUCUUGCGCUUAUUGGCGGAUUUGC